GCCAGUGUGGCUUAGUGGUUUGAGUGUUGGCCUAUGACUGGUCACCAGGGUUCGAUUCUCUGCUCGGCCA